UUGAAAGGGAAACGAUUGAAGUCAGUCGUGCUGGCGCGAAAUCAACCUUCUCGUCUUGAGAUCACAUGGCGUGGCGAGCCUCAAAACCGUCACGAAGCGUGAACUCUUUGUGAAAUGGAGCACUUUCGUGUCCGCUGGUUAACAUCAAUUUCGAACGUCAUAAAAAGGCUGGAGGGAUGUGGCUCCUUCGGGAGUGUUAUAACCUUUAGCGGAAUGUGGUGUUCGGGAUUGAGGAUUGCAACGAAUACCUUUAGGGCUGUCCCACCUGGCUUCUCUUUGGUAUCCUGGUGACGACAGCUUGCUGACGUCGUUAGGAUUCGCCUUUGAACAGGUUAGAGUGUGAGCAAAUUCGUUAAGGAUGUUGACGUA
rnacentral:rRNA from 1 species